GAUGAACGCUGGCGGCGUGCUUAACACAUUCAAGUCGAACGGGCGAAGGGAGCUUGCUCCCUGAGCUAGUGGCGGACGGGUGAGUAACGCGUGAGCAACCUACCUUUAUCUGAGGGGACAACAGAGGGAAACUUCUGCUAAUACCUCAUAACACAUACUUGCCGCAUGACGAGUAUUUCAAAGGAGUAAUCCGGAUAAAGAUGGGCUCGCGUCCGAUUAGAUAGUUGGUGAGGUAACGGCCCACCAAGUCUGCGAUCGGUAGCCGGACUGAGAGGUUGAACGGCCACAUUGGAACUGAGAAACGGUCCAGACUCCUACGGGAGGCAGCAGUGGGGAAUAUUGGGCAAUGGGCGAAAGCCUGACCCAGCGACGCCGCGUGAGGGAAGAAGGUCUUCGGAUUGUAAACCUUUGUCAGCAGGGAAGAAGAAAGUGACGGUACCUGUGGAGGAAGCCACGGCUAACUACGUG
rnacentral:rRNA from 1 species